UUACAUUUCAGAGAACUAUUCAUUGCUAUCCAAUACGCAUCCCUUGGGGCACUCCAAUUAAGCUUAGGAAAGACACUGCCCCCGAGGGAAUUGAUAGCUUCCUGGACUUUAGUGGCAAACUCAGGAAAUUCUGGUGCCGUAAGCGUGGCUGUGUUCUCAUCAUCAGACCACUGUAUUUCUUCUGCUUCAUCAUCACUGUCUGGCUGAGAAUGUGUUGGUGGAUCAUCCCUUCCUGAAA
rnacentral:misc_RNA from 1 species